GUUGGUCCCCCUCUUCGUGAUGGAACUCCAUGAAACAUUUGAAGCACAAAGCAUUCAUCAGACAGGAGGGAGAAGCAAAAUGACUUACAGGGCCAUGAUUGCUUGGUAGAAGCAGAACUGCUAAAGCACAAAAUUUGAUAGCUAGUAAUCAAUAUUAGUUUCUAGCUCAAAACAAUGAUUGCUAGAUCAUUUGAACAAGUGAGAGUUUCAGAUGGUGCUGGAAAAGAAAGUGAAACCCCAUCAAAUGUACCAGCUAGAAGAGUCAUCACCGAAUUCUUCAUUUCCAGAAUGUACAGGUUUCUGUGCAAAAUUUAAGAGAGCAGAGAAGAUGACUGUUCUAUGGCAUGGCAAUAAAGCAAGAGAGGUAGAUAACUGGUCAACUACUGGAAUGUGGCAACCCAGUAAUAUCAAAGUCACCACCCAUUUCUUGGUAUCAACUUGAAACAACAGUCAUGGUGGAUGGGAGUGGUCUUCUUUUUUCUCCUUAUGCUGAAACAGCUUGUGCACCCAAACUAUUGAAGAACUAUGAUCAUCAUAGGUGCACUAUACAGAAAUCACACAGAAAGCAAUAUAAAGAAAAUAUGAAACAGCAUGCAGCACCACCGAAGGAACCAUCCAGUGAUUUGGCACCACAUUUUUUCAGCCACACAUUUGGCCUUUUCGGCAAUGGUUGGUCCACUUUGUAUGGCUCAGUUUGACACCACAAAAUGUGGAUAGAGAACUGCUUUUCGUGAUGGCGAAUAUCUUCUGCGACCGAGUUCUUUUGUUUCUGGAGCUUGGAAAUGACCUGAUCUAUUAAUGAAUCUUUGAAGGGGCCUUUAAGCAGAAAUAUUUAUCGGCAAGGUUAAUAGAGGUGGAGUUGGAGCCAAGCAGAAGACCUUUUUCUUUUUACCAUCAUAUCACUGAUCUUUUUGGUGGAAAUAGUCUGCAAAGUUAUCAUGAACAGUGAACCGUACCACACACCUCUAAGGCUUUUCCAGCUGCCAUUGCACAACCAUAAAAGAAGCCUUGGCCUCCCAAAGCUCGCACAAUCCUCCUCUUCAGAACAGCAGCAGCACUACCAACGAUGCUGAGGAUCCGACCCUUCCUCACCAAUAUUUUGCUAGUUCUUCUCUUGGCGACAUCUUUAGGCCAGGCUGACAUCACUGAGGAUGGAACUGAGCCAAUGAAGGCCUCAGAUCUGGUGUCCAAGGUGCAAACAAGAAAGGUUUUGGUAGAGGUUAUACUAGAUUACGACUAUGGAGGACACAACUCCAGACAUGAACCCAGGAGAGGAAAGUCAGGAAAUGGUGGUAAUCCAUAGAUGGAAGCCUCAAGCCUCUUCGCCAAAGGGCCUUAGUGGACUAGCGUCCCAUCUUGUUCAUCGAUCCGCUUAAUGUACAACUACUAGAUCUUCAAAUCCAUUAUUGUGACUUUUUUCUUUGUUAGUUUGGCUGCCCCCAGAUAUGGAGACAUGUUAACUUGUGCUUGUAAGUAGUUCUUCCAGUGAGAUGUUGUGCUUGAGAAGAACCUAAGUAUUAAUGUCAGAAACAAAAAGGAGCAAUACUCUCAUUUUCACCAUCUUAUGUGUCACUUCCUAGAGAUUAUACGGUGGUCAUCACUCAUCGGUGUUU